ACGGAGGGUGCAAGCGUUAAUCGGAAUUACUGGGCGUAAAGCGCACGCAGGCGGUCUGUCAAGUCGGAUGUGAAAUCCCCGGGCUCAACCUGGGAACUGCAUUCGAAACUGGCAGGCUAGAGUCUUGUAGAGGGGGGUAGAAUUCCAGGUGUAGCGGUGAAAUGCGUAGAGAUCUGGAGGAAUACCGGUGGCGAAGGCGGCCAUCUGGCUCGGUACUGACGCUCAGGCGCGAAAGCGUGGGGAGCAAACAGGA
rnacentral:rRNA from 1 species